rnacentral:tRNA from 1 species
CCGCCGGCGAGGCUCGUUCCGCCGAUGAUGACGGCGGCGAUGGCCUCCAGUUCCAGGCCGGUGCCGGCGGU